rnacentral:tRNA from 1 species
GCGUCGGUGGCUCAGGGGUUAAGCACUAGAUUUGCAAUCUACUGGUCCUGGGUUCGAAUCCCGCCAUGUA